GCCGUAGUGCUGGAAUCUGGUAGACAGGCUAGCUUGAGGGGCUAGUGCCCCUUAGGGCGUGAGGGUUCAAAUCCCUCCUACGGCACCA
rnacentral:tRNA from 1 species